rnacentral:rRNA from 1 species
GACGAACGCUGGCGGCGUGCCUAAUACAUGCAAGUCGAGCGAAGUUUUUCUGGUGCUUGCACUAGAAAAACUUAGCGGCGACCGGGUGAGUAACACGUAAAGAACCUGCCUCAUAGACUGGGACAACUAUUGGAAACGAUAGCUAAUACCGGAUAACAGUAUUUCUCGCAUGAGAGAUAUUUAAAAGUUGGUUAUGCUAACACUAUGAGAUGGCUUUGCGGUGCAUUAGCUAGUUGGUGGGGUAAAGGCCCACCAAGGCGACGAUGCAUAGCCGACCUGAGAGGGUGAUCGGCCACACUGGGACUGAGACACGGCCCAGACUCCUACGGGAGGCAGCAGUAGGGAAUCUUCCGCAAUGGGCGAAAGCCUGACGGAGCAACGCCGCGUGAGUGAAGAAGGAUUUCGGUUCGUAAAGCUCUGUUGUUAGGGAAGAAUGGAUAUGUAGUAACUAUACAUGUAAGAGACGGUACCUAACCAGAAAGCCACGGCUAACUACGUG